rnacentral:rRNA from 1 species
UACGGGGGGGGCGAGCGUUGUUCGGAAUUACUGGGCGUAAAGGGUUUGUAGGUGGCCUGCUAAGUCAGACGUGAAAUCCCUCAGCUUAACUGGGGAACUGCGUCUGAUACUGGCGGGCUUGAGGACAGGAGAGGAACGCGGAAUUCCAGGUGUAGCGGUGAAAUGCGUAGAUAUCUGGAGGAACACCGGUGGCGAAGGCGACUUCCUGGCCUGUUCUUGACGCUGAGGCGCGAAAGCUAGGGUAGCAAACGGG